rnacentral:rRNA from 1 species
GAUGAACGCUGGCGGCGUGCCUAAUACAUGCAAGUCGAGCGAACGGACGAUAAUCUUGCUUCUCUGAUGUUAGCGGCGGACGUGUGAGUAACACGUGGAUAACCUACCUAUAUGACUGGUAUAACUUCGGGAAACCUGAUCUAAUACCGGAUAAUAUUUUUAACCGCAUUGUUCAAUAGUUUAAUUCGGUCUUGCUGUCUCUUAUAGAUUGAUCCGCGCUGCAUUAGCUAGUUGGUAAGGUAACGGCUUACCAAGGCAACGAUGCAUAGCCGACAUGAGAGGGUGAUCGGCAACACUGGAACUGAGACAGGGAAAAGAGACCUACGGGAGGAAGAAGUAGGGAAUAUUCCGCAAUGGGCGAAAGAAUGAAGGAGCAACGCCGAGUGAGUGAUGAAGGUCUUCGGAUCGUAAAACACUGUUAUUAGGGAAGAAAAUAUGUGUAAGAAAAUGUGCAGAGAUUGACGGUAACUAAUAAGAAAGCAACGGCUAACUACGUG